CAAGAUGAAAUCAUAUCGAAUCAUACCAUAACAUCUGGGAUCAUUCCGAUAGAAUGUUACGAACUCUGCCGGGAUGAAAUGAAGUGUUUUGGAUACAACUACAGAGACAAGAUCAAUGUUGUGAAUUGCCAAUUGAUGAACAUCGCUGGAAAGAGAGAUCACACCGCAGUAAGAGAAAAAGAAGAAUGGAUACUAAUGCUGGAUGAUGAAUGGGAAAAGCGAAGAAAUGACAUUUUGAACUCAGCUACCAGCUGCGCCUAUCUGUAUAACCAUGGAAUGAGAAAAGACGG